CUAAGCGUACACGGUGGAUGCCCUGGCAGUCAGAGGCGAUGAAGGACGUGCUAAUCUGCGAUAAGCGCCGGUAAGGUGAUAUGAACCGUUAUAACCGGCGAUUUCCGAAUGGGGAAACCCAGUGUGAUUCGUCACACUAUCAUUAACUGAAUCCAUAGGUUAAUGAGGCGAACCUGGGGAACUGAGCCAUCAAAGUACCCCGAGUAAAAGAAAUCAACCGAGAUUCCCCCA
rnacentral:rRNA from 1 species